rfam:Triticum aestivum genome assembly, contig: Triticum_aestivum_CS42_TGACv1_scaffold_592060_7BS
UAAUUACUCCCUCCGUCCGAAAAUACUUGUCAUCAAAAUGGAUAGAAAUGGAUGUAUCUAAAACUUAUAUACAUCUAGAUACAUCAUUUUUUAUUCAUUUUGAUGACAAGUACUUCCGGACGGAGUCUAGUAUUCA